rnacentral:lncRNA from 1 species
GGCUGGUUAGACAUAUAGAUGUGCUGAUCUGAAUUUGAUCAAUUGGAUGUUAUAUCUACUAAUUUUGAAAAGACCUAAACCUAAAUCUUCUCACUAAAUAUUAAGUCUAGAGGUCUUCCAUCAUUAUAGAGAUAUGGGUGCCUUCCUGGCGUUGAUUGUUCUCGAUUGGUUACAGUAGUUCGGUUGCAUCGAGAAGGUAUAACCACUCUAUUAACAUUUGAUGUCUCAAGAUAGAGAUGGGGUUGGGCCCAGUAACUAUUAGGUAAGGGUCCCAAUGAUAGCUUUGGACCCAUUGGUGAAUGAUGGGUCUGACUUAACU